AUUUUUAGGAAUGAAAUUGUAUGUUCAUUGUAAUUUUUUUUCCUCUAGUAAAAUGUGAUUGUAACUUUAUUUAACUACACAAUAGUGUACGUGGAGCUUGUGAACACUUUGAGUCUAUACCACACCUGUCACCUGUUGUCCUAAUUGAUAAGUGAGUCUAAAUAAAGAGGUUUUAAGCUGGUCCAAGGCUGAGUUAUGGUGUGCAGCAAGCCCUUUCUUCUUUUGUUUGAUUCUGAGCCACCGUAAGAUGACAGUGCGAGAUACUCAUGGAGUGAGCACAACCCAUCCCUGAGGCACCACUGCUUCAUAUGUCUCUCACUUACGUGUACGAGAGUUACAUAUGUCUCUGCGCAAAAUCUCGCUAUUGCAUCUGCUCAAUUCACACAACUUAAUAGCCUACUGCUUUUUCCAAGCAGCGGUUCAUACGCCAUGUCCCCUCACCUCUAGCCGUCCCCGUCUCUUAGACACACAAGGCAACGCAGAGAGAGGUUCCCGCACUGUGAGCUGACGCUCAGAAACUUCAGCUUCAGUAUCUGAAGAUGAAGAUGAGGGUCCUUUCAGUGGCUGCUCCACUGAGAUCUAUUGUGUGUCCUGAGUAAUUCAGGCAGGCAGGGAGGAGCGACCGGGGGAGAUACUGUACGAGGAAGUGCAAAGUGCUGGCAGGUCCUCCACUGUCCUGCGUGGUUCGCAUUCGAACAAACAGCCAAGUGGGAGGAAACAAAAAUCCUGUCAAACUUGCUCCGCGACAAGGAGGUAUGAAGGACAUAAAGACAGAGACAAAACAAAAUUUGAGUUUCUUUAUUUGACUCAUAGCUCAUGGCAAGUUUCGUCUGAGUUCAAACAUAUGACUUAAACAUGGUCUGUGGAGAGAAUGAACUGUGUUAAUUGUCUGUUUGCUUAAAGACUCUCUGGCAUCAGCGUUAUCUGUUUAAAUAAAAUGUGUUGG